rnacentral:rRNA from 1 species
AGCGAACGCUGGCGGCAGGCUUAACACAUGCAAGCCGAGCGGGCAUCCUUGUGGUGUCAGCGGCAGACGGGUGAGUAACGCGUGGGAACGUGCCCUUCGGUUCGGAAUAACUCAGGGAAACUUGAGCUAAUACCGGAUACGUGCGAGAGCAGAAAGGUUUAUCUGCCGAAGGAUCGGCCCGCGUCUGAUUAGCUAGUUGGUGAGGUUACGGCUCACCAAGGCGACGAUCAGUAGCUGGUCUGAGAGGAUGAUCAGCCACACUGGGACUGAGACACGGCCCAGACUCCUACGGGAGGCAGCAGUGGGGAAUAUUGGACAAUGGGGGCAACCCUGAUCCAGCCAUGCCGCGUGAGUGAUGACGGCCUUAGGGUUGUAAAGCUCUUUUCUCCGGGACGAUAAUGACGGUACCGGAGGAAUAAGCCCCGGCUAACUUCGUG